rnacentral:misc_RNA from 1 species
GAUGAAGAACGUAGCGAAAUGCGAUAAGUAAUGUGAAUUGCAGAAUCCAGUGAAUCAUCGAAUCUUUGAACGCACAUUGCGCCCGCCAGCAUUCUGGCGGGCAUGCCUGUUCGAGCGUCAUUUCAACCCUCGACCUCCCUUUGGGGAAGUCGGCGUUGGGGACCGGCAGCACACCGCCGACCCUGAAAUGGAGUGGCGGCCCGUCCGCGGCGACCUCUGCGUAGUAAUCCAACUCGCACCGGAACCCCGACGCGGCCACGCCGUAAAACACCCAACUUCUGAACGUUGACCUCGAAUCAGGUAGGACUACCCGCUGAACUUAAGCAUAUCAAUAAGCGGAGGA